GACGAACGCUGGCGGCGUGCUUAACGCAUGCAAGUCGAACGGAAAGGCCCUGCUUUUGUGGGGUGCUCGAGUGGCGAACGGGUGAGUAACACGUGAGUAACCUGCCCUUGACUUUGGGAUAACUUCAGGAAACUGGGGCUAAUACCGGAUAGGAGCUCCUGCUGCAUGGUGGGGGUUGGAAAGUUUCGGCGGUUGGGGAUGGACUCGCGGCUUAUCAGCUUGUUGGUGGGGUAGUGGCUUACCAAGGCUUUGACGGGUAGCCGGCCUGAGAGGGUGACCGGCCACAUUGGGACUGAGAUACGGCCCAGACUCCUACGGGAGGCAGCAGUGGGGAAUAUUGCACAAUGGGCGGAAGCCUGAUGCAGCAACGCCGCGUGCGGGAUGACGGCCUUCGGGUUGUAACCCGCUUUCGCCUGUGACGAAGCGUGAGUGACGGUAAUGGGUAAAGAAGCACCGGCUAACUACGUG
rnacentral:rRNA from 1 species